rnacentral:rRNA from 1 species
UACGUAGGGGGCUAGCGUUGUCCGGAUUGAUUGGGCGUAAAGAGCGUGUAGGCGGCCAGGUAGGUCUGCUGUGAAAACUCGAGGCUCAACCUCGAGACGUCGGCGGAAACCAUCUGGCUAGAGUCCGGAAGAGGAGAGUGGAAUUCCUGGUGUAGCGGUGAAAUGCGCAGAUAUCAGGAAGAACACCCGUGGCGAGGGCGGCUCUCUGGGACGGUACUGACGCUGAGACGCGAAAGCGUGGGGAGCGAACAGG